UGAUGCCAGCCGCUUCAUGGAGCAGCGUGGGGCUCGAGGUGGCAAUCCUGCGGGUGUAGUUUGCCCACCCCUGGCCUGGAGGUAGGCCAGGGGUGGGGGGACACGGGCCACUUGGCAGGCCGCAGGAAAUGGCUGCACCAUUUUUAAUGAAACAUACAUACUGGAUUGAUGCUGGUGAUAUAUUUGACAAGUCCAUAUAGGACCAAAGAGGCGGGGGAACCUUUAUCUGUGAGAACAUUGUGACUGACUCUGGAAAGGCUUACUCUGUCAAUUAAGGCUCUACCGAGCUUCCCGACUCCGUGAAAGCUACAGAAGACAACCAUUUACUGCCUUUUAUCGGCCAUCUUGAACCGAACAGGCCUCCUAUGUUUCGCACCCUUUUUCCAGGAUUACACGUGCAGGCACCAUAGCACAGCAAGCAUGGAGCCUGCUCAGAUCUCCGCUGCAGUUUUGACCAUUGUAAAUACCGCGCACAUUAUCCAGCAGUAUGUGGAGUACCUGCAAAACUGGGCGAGGAAACGACGACAGUGCGAUUACUAUACUGAUGAGGACAUGGACACAGACAUUCCUAGAAGUACGGCAUGUGGCAAUUGGGAGAUCAU